CUUUUGAUGAGCUUGUGUACAGUAUUCCACAGAGUGGACGCGUACACAGUGUAUUUACCAUUCCCAGUGGGGACCCGGUCACUUCCGAUUCUUUCCUUAGAUAAGGAAAGCUGUGGAGGGAUCCAUUAGAGAAGUGUGCCCGGAAGUAGAUCCGCAGGGUCAUAAGAUCGGCUGCUCUCACGCAGGAGUAAAGUCUUUGCACGGUGUCCCACGGGACGCUCCCAGUGGGGGAUGUUUGAAGAGACUGACAAAGAAGACAUUGAAAUUUAGAGACAGAAGCCGGGGCCCAAGCACACGUCCUCUGACCCCAGGAGCCAGGCGCUGCCACUGCGUCCCAGAGGCCUUUGCUCCAGGGAAGCUUCUGGAACAUGAGCACCAUGUUGCCCAGAAGAGCUCCAGCUGGUCACGCUGUGUCAGGAGGCCUAGGGAAGGGGCGCCAGGAAGGAGGGCCAAAGAUCAGGACCCUGGAGCUGCAUCCUGGGGAGAGGGCAGUGGGCACAGAAACCGAGAGUCCGUGGAGGGAGGGAGAGGGCUGGAGCCCCUCCUGCUCCUGUGCCCAGCACAGGUGUGCCAUCGGCUCCAUGGUCAGCACUAUUUUCUCACCGCUGCCCUGCCUUGGAGACUGUAGGACGCUUAUCACUGGGGACUUCCGGGGAGGUAACACAUUACUCUGUGCACGCUUUGUGUACAUGCUGUUAAAUCAUGACAAACAGCACAUUGAGAGUGUAUUCCUUUUUCAUGUUGUCAUCCUUCUAAUGACAUAAGGAGAAAGUCUCUGGUACUUGUAUAAGGCAGAUGCUUUUGGUACAAGUAACAACACCUAAAUUCAAAGUAAAUAAGAACACGCAGGAAAAGGUAUUAUUUCACAUAAGG
rnacentral:lncRNA from 1 species